UUCGCAAUGCCCGAAAGGGUGACGAAGCGACGCCGCGUGGGUGAGGAAGGCCUUCGGGUUGUAAAGCCCUGUCAGGAGUUAAGAAAUGUAGACUCGCUAAUAUCGGGUCUAUUUGACAAAGGCUCCAAAGGAAGCCACGGCUAACUCUGUGCCAGCAGCCGCGGUAAUACAGAGGUGGCGAGCGUUGUUCGGAAUUAUUGGGCGUAAAGAGCACGUAGGUGGGUUUGUAAGUCAGAUGUGAAAGCCUUCUGUUCAACGGAAGAAUUGCAUCUGAAACUGCGAGUCUUGAGUGUAGGAGGGGAGAAUGGAACUUCUGGUGGAGCGGUGAAAUGCGUAGAUAUCAGAAGGAACGCCGGCGGCGAAAGCGAUUCUCUGGCCUAUUACUGACACUGAGUGUGCGAAAGCUAGGGGAGCAAACGGGAUUAGAUACCCCGGUAGUCCUAGCCGUAAACGAUGGGCACUAAGUAGAGGGGUUUU
rnacentral:rRNA from 1 species